AUGAACUUAUGGCUGAUAAUGGUUUCCUUUGUCCUUAUUUUAAAGGGUGUCCAGUGUGAGGUGCAAUUGCUGGAGUCUGGAGGAGGCUUAGUGCAGCCUGGAAAGUCCCUGAAACUCUCCUGUGCAGCCUCUGGAUUCACCUUCAGUGAUUAUUACAUGAGCUGGGACCACCAGGCUCCAGGAAAGGGACUGGAGAGGAUCUCAACCAUAUGUUACAAUGGUGGUAACACCUGGUAUACCGACGCUGUGAAGGACCGGUUCACAAUAUCCAGAGACAAUGCCAAGAACACUCUGUACCUGGCAAUGAGCAGUCUGAGGUCAGAGGACACAGCCAUGUAUUACUGUGCAAGAGACACAGUGAUUUACAUUACAUGGGUUACUAUAACAUCAUCACCACAGAAACCUGCUCUGAGGUCAGGUGAGCAGCAACACUGGGAUUCAAGGUUUGACUUCAGGCUCAGGGCCUCCCUUACCAUGAGCAAGCCUCUGAAGACAUUCAAGUUCCCAUUCUUCCUUAAGAUCCCAGUGAAUUCCAAAGCAUCAAAGGCAUAA